rnacentral:rRNA from 1 species
ACAUGCCUACAACAUAGCGUUAAUGCACCAGAUCCCAUUAGAACUCUGUAGUUAAGCACGCUCAGGCUAGAGUAGUAUUGGGAUGGGUGACCGCUUGAGAAGUCCUAGUGCUUUACAUGCC